UGCAGUCGAGCGGACUUGAUAGAGAAGCUUGCUUCUCUGAUGGUUAGCGGCGGACGGGUGAGUAACACGUAGGCAACCUGCCCUCAAGUUUGGGACAACUACCGGAAACGGUAGCUAAUACCGAAUAGUUGUUUUCUUCGCCUGAAGGAAACUGGAAAGACGGAGCAAUCUGUCACUUGGGGAUGGGCCUGCGGCGCAUUAGCUAGUUGGUGGGGUAACGGCUCACCAAGGCGACGAUGCGUAGCCGACCUGAGAGGGUGAUCGGCCACACUGGGACUGAGACACGGCCCAGACUCCUACGGGAGGCAGCAGUAGGGAAUCUUCCGCAAUGGGCGAAAGCCUGACGGAGCAAUGCCGCGUGAGUGAUGAAGGUUUUCGGAUCGUAAAGCUCUGUUGCCAGGGAAGAACGCUUGGGAGAGUAACUGCUCUCAAGGUGACGGUACCUG
rnacentral:rRNA from 1 species